rnacentral:lncRNA from 1 species
GACGGCUUCCUAGCUUUACGGCAACAACUAUGGCGGCUUCCAGUGGCCGAUUUGAAAGUGCGAAGAGUAUCGAAGAGCGUAAGGAACUGUGUCGAAUUGCCAGGGCUGAGGUGUUGCGUCAGGCCAAAGCCAAUUUUGAAAAAGAAGAAAGGCGGAAAGAACUUAAACGACUUCGAGGUGAAGAUACAUGGAUGCUCCCUGAUGUCAGUGAGCGAAUUGAGGAGUUCUCGAAGGAACAUUCUGUAAAGAAAAAGAAGAAAAAAGAUAAGCAUUCAAAAAAAGAAAAGAAAGAGAAGAAAAAAAAGAGCAAGAAACAGAAAUAUGAAAAAAGUGAAUCAGGUGAUAGUUCAUCAGUAAGUACUACAAUUAACCAACAUAGAGAAGCCGUGAAUAGAGAAAA